rnacentral:rRNA from 1 species
UACGAAGGGUGCAAGCGUUACUCGGAAUUACUGGGCGUAAAGCGUGCGUAGGCGGUUUGUUAAGUCCGUUGUGAAAGCCCUGGGCUCAACCUGGGAAUUGCAGUGGAUACUGGCAAGCUAGAGUACGGUAGAGGAUGGUGGAAUUCCCGGUGUAGCGGUGAAAUGCGUAGAGAUCGGGAGGAACACCCGUGGCGAAGGCGGCCAUCUGGACCAGUACUGACGCUGAGGCACGAAAGCGUGGGGAACAAACAGG